UACAGAGGGGGCAAGCGUUGUUCGGAAUUACUGGGCGUAAAGGACGCGUAGGCGGCCGCCUAAGUCAGACGUGAAAUCCCUCGGCUCAACCGGGGAACUGCGUCUGAUACUGGGUGGCUUGAAUCCGGGAGAGGGAUGCGGAAUUCCAGGUGUAGCGGUGAAAUGCGUAGAUAUCUGGAGGAACACCGGUGGCGAAGGCGGCAUCCUGGACCGGCAUUGACGCUGAGGCGCGAAAGCCAGGGGAGCAAACGGG
rnacentral:rRNA from 1 species